rnacentral:misc_RNA from 1 species
GCAAACUUGGUCAUUUAGAGGAAGUAAAAGUCGUAACAAGGUUUCCGUAGGUGAACCUGCGGAAGGAUCAUUACCAAAAUUUUAAGCGGCCCUGGCUCUGUGCUUUGACGCUUUUAACCACCUGUGAACCAACCCAUUUUCGCUUUCGGCAGCAAGGGCGGCCCAACAAAUGUUCUGCCCUGUCAGCCUGCCGUUAGCACGCAGCCUUAAACCUUUUUGCACAUGCUGUGCAACAAUCUGUCUGAAAAUUGGAAUUCUUAAUGAAAUCAAAACUUUCAACAACGGAUCUCUUGGUUCCCGCAUCGAUGAAGAACGCAGC